rnacentral:rRNA from 1 species
AUUGAACGCUGGCGGCAGGCCUAACACAUGCGAGUCGAACGGUAACAGAAAGCAGCUUGCUGCUUUGCUGACGAGUGGCGGACGGGUGAGUAAUGUCUGGGAAACUGCCUGAUGGAGGGGGAUAACUACUGGAAACGGUAGCUAAUACCGCAUAACGUCGCAAGACCAAAGAGGGGGACCUUCGGGCCUCUUGCCCUCGGAUGUGCCCAGAUGGGAUUAGCUAGUAGGUGGGGUAAAGGCUCACCUAGGCGACGAUCCCUAGCUGGUCUGAGAGGAUGACCAGCCACACUGGAACUGAGACACGGUCCAGACUCCUACGGGAGGCAGCAGUGGGGAAUAUUGCACAAUGGGCGCAAGCCUGAUGCAGCCAUGCCGCGUGUAUGAAGAAGGCCUUCGGGUUGUAAAGUACUUUCAGCGGGGAGGAAGGGAGUAAAGUUAAUACCUUUGCUCAUUGACGUUACCCGCAGAAGAAGCACCGGCUAACUCCGUG